GUUUAACAUUCUCAAGCAAACACCUGUUAGAGGAGUAAGGUCGACCUGAGCAGACGACGACGCGUCCUCGCGUGUCCACGUCCAAGUGGUCACGGUGGUCGAGCGCCUCCUGACCAGCUUGAGUCGGUCCCGUCACAGCGUCCCCCCCCCUGUUAGAGACGGACAGAGGCUCUUUGUCCAACGGGCCCGGUUCCUCCGCUCCACUCGUAGCGGCUCGGCUUCUCAGUCCCUGUCAGCUACCCGGUAGUCAGACGCCUCCAGGGCCUCGUUACGAGCUCGGUCUGAGGGCCCACUCCGUCAGGAGCCGCCAGGGAUUCAUUCUUCCUCCACUCAAGACGGCUCGGGACCGAAUGCGCCUUGUGAUGUGUUGUAAAAGUGACAGUUUACCGGCUUAAAUCCAUUUACAAUCAGGGACCGAAAUCUCCGUGUCGUUUCUGAUUGAGCUUUAAUCACAGACAGACCCACACCUUUAUCUCGUAAUUGGCCCAAAGGAAAUCGGUGCGGUUAGGAAGCAGAGGAAAGGCAGGGAGAACGCCCAGUGCUGUCGGGACACGGAUUCUGCAGCUCCAGGAGUGGGAUUGAAGACGGGCUGAGGCAGUGCGGGGCUCAGACGUCCACGAGCGCCGGUGCAGCAGCGAGGGAUUUCAGACCAGAGGUCUCUGUCCCGCGGAGGUUACUUCUGCAGAGGCUGGAUGGGCGGAAAGAUUUAAAUUACUCAACUCAUUAGAUGGAAAUUAAGAUACGACUAUAGAAUGUACAGCUGUAAGACCAACGCUACAAUUUGCAUUUAAUGUCUACACUGCUGAAAUAACUUACUUAAAUCAAAUCAAAGUGGUUGAAUUUGCUUAAGAUAAUAGAUGAAUUGUAACAAAUUAACUAACAAUAUUAGUUUAAUGUAAUGAAGAAAUUGUAACAAAUAUGUUAAAUCUAACAAAUGAAUUAUUAGUUUUAUAUAAAAUUAAAUUGUAACAUUAAAUAUAAUGCAGAACUUGUUACAAUAUAUGCUAAAUGUAAUACAUUUAGCUAAUGUUACAAUUCAUGUAACAAAUGAACUAACAAUGUCAGCUAAAUAUAAUGGU
ensembl:lncRNA